rnacentral:rRNA from 1 species
CCUACGGGAGGCAGCAGUGAGGAAUAUUGGUCAAUGGGCGCGAGCCUGAACCAGCCAAGUCGCGUGAAGGAAGACUGCCCUACGGGUUGUAAACUUCUUUUAUAAGGGAAUAAAGUGAGGCACGUGUGACUUUUUGUAUGUACUUUAUGAAUAAGGAUCGGCUAACUCCGUGCCAGCAGCCGCGGUAAUACGGAGGAUCCGAGCGUUAUCCGGAUUUAUUGGGUUUAAAGGGAGCGUAGAUGGGGUGUUAAGUCAGUUGUGAAAGUUCGGGGCUCAACCGUAGAAUUGCAUUUGAUACUGGAAGCCUUGAGUACGGUUGAGGUAGGCGGAAUUCGUGGUGUAGCGGUGAAAUGCUUAGAUAUCACGAAGAACUCCGAUUGCGAAGGCAGCCUACUGGACUGCCACUGACGUUGAUGCUCGAAAGUGUGGGUAUCAAACAGGAUUAGAUACCCGGGUAGUC